rnacentral:rRNA from 1 species
GGGUGCUCUAGCUCACCUCCUAUGCACAUGAGGUGUUCGAUGAAAUGUCUGAGCCACACUAGUUAAUCUUUCUCCUCUCGAAACUCGACCUCCGAGCUCCAUUUUCCCCGAGAUUUGUCUAGGUUUAGCGGUCUGUCACGUCCCGUCCCCGUCUUCACCGCCAUCGAUCGCCCACGCCGAUCUCGUCGCCGGCACCACCGUGGUGAGCCUCUUGUUCUUAUAUUCUUUCUGAAAG